CCCUUAGAUGUUCUGGGCCGCACGCGCGCUACACUGAAUGGAUCAACGUGUUUUCCCUUCCCGAGAGGGACGGGUAACCCGCUGAACCCCAUUCGUGGUAGGGAUCGGAGCUUGCAAUUGUUCUCCGUGAACCAGGAAUUCCCAGUAAGCGCAAGUCAUAAGCUUGCGUUGAUUACGUCCCUGCCCUUUGUACACACCGCCCGUCGCUACUACCGAUUGAAGGUAAUGAUGAGCCCUCAGGAUUGUGGCCUCGUCGCGUCAGCGUCUUGGCUGCGAGAAUCUGUGCAAAUCCCUACCUUUAGAGGAAGGUGAAGUCGUAACA
rnacentral:rRNA from 1 species